UCUGGGUGUGCUGGUCUUACAGGAGGUGUGUUCAGGUGAAUUUGGGUGUGAGUGGUCUUAAGGGCGGUGUGUUAGGUGCAUUCUGGGUGGUGCUGGUCUUAAGGGAGGUGUGUCAGGUGCAUUCUGGGCGUGUGGUCUUACAGCGAGGUGUGUUCCGGUGCAUUCUGGGUGUGCUGGUCUUACAAGGAGGUGUGUUCCGGUGCAUUCUGGGCGUGCUGGUGUUACAGGAGGUGUGUAGGUGCAUUGGGGUGCUGGUCUUAAAGGGAGGUGUGUUCAGG